UUCGGACUACGUCAACAGACGUCGAACGGACAGCAUCUCCCCUAUCCGCCCAAGACUCCAACAACAAGUAUAAUUAAGCAAUCAAACAACGAGAUUUGCAAUUAUACAAGCCUUGCACGAGGGCAAACAACAACAAGAAUGAAAGCUCUAAGCUACUGCAUAUAACCACAUACAUAAUAUUGAUUACAUUUUAACCAAAUACAAGUAAACUAAAACUAUUACAUUCAAUUUUCUUUCAUCCAUAAUUUCUUUACAUUAUAAUCAUCCAACUCAAUAUACAUGAUUGUUUACAACUUUUACAUUUCUUGAUCAACAAAAUAAAAGUUGAUACAUGAACAAAAAGGAAUGACUAUAAUGCAAAUACUCCGGUGACCACUAUCUGCGCAAGACCCUUGCUUCGAUCCUCCGCCACCCCGCUUGCGCUCGGAUCUAUAGGGUUAGUGGUGUAAGA
rnacentral:lncRNA from 1 species